CUAAAACGUGGUCGAAUAUUAGAAAAUUCAACGUCUUGGCCCGCGAAAAUAGUCAAAAAUACGCAAAAUAUCUUUGGACGGCUGGAUUAUACGAGGUUUUAUUGAACUAUUUCAAAAAUUUUGAGGGAUAAAAACUGUACUUCGAAGCCUGAAAUAAUCACGAAAUUGACGGCAGACCUCAUCAUACAGUCGUCACAGUUUAAAAGACAGAGAAAUUGAUCUACGAGGAUACAAGAUUUCAGUCAUUGAAAACCUUGGAGCAACUUUGGAUAUCCAUCCGAAAGAAACAUUCUUUUAAAGAAGUUAAUAUAUUUUCAAGAAGUCAAGAACUCCUUUGUUGACAAUCCCUACUCAUGAGCUUUAGCAGGCACUCUACCAAAGACAUUAUUUCUCUUCGUCAAGAGAACAAGUCCAAGCGUGUAUCCAAACCCGUGAGAGUAACUUUGCGAAGAGUAGUAGUAAGGAAUUUACUCAGUAUUGCGUUGCUGAACAAGAACGUCUAAAAAUGUUAAUCGAUGGUUUAGCUCUUGUUCAGUAAGUAUUGUAAUUAAAAAACAGGUGCCAGGAAGAGAAUCUUGGCAGAAAUAAUUGGCAAUUUUCAUCGUUACAAAAUAAGGAGAAGUUGUAAUCCACGUCUAUGCUACACAGUAAAAACAGAUUGGUCAAAAUUACCAACUUUUGGUCGCGACCAAUUUUUAAAUUGGUCAAACCUUUGUGACCACUAAAAUUUGGUUAUUUUGAUAAAAAAAUUUGGUAAAAUUGUAAAUAUAACUGCACACGUCGGCGGCCAUCGCGAUAGCAGUUUCACUAACUUUACUUUGGAACUAUUAAAAAUAUUCGAUACUCCAAACAUCAGUAACCCCGGUUUAAGGUCGUUAAACUUCAUUGUCAUAAAUUAUUGGUAUGCCAAUAAUAUCCUUCCGCAGGUUCACCUACGGAAACCUUGUUACGACUUUUACUUCCUCUAAAUGAUCAAGUUUGACCAAGGAUGAGCCGGAACUCAUCUGACAGUGCCAAUCCAGAAGUUCGAAAAGGCAAUUAAACAAUCGUGAAAGCUAGUAUUAAGCGAUAACUAUUAAGCACAUUUCAUCACAAUGUAACCAAUUACCAUGGUUUUACCUAUAAUAAUACAGCGGUUUUUUGAAAAAAGCGUCAAUAUAUUGUGACAUUGUCGCAUAUUUACGACAUCAAUUAAACGACGUUAUUAUA